CCACCGGGCAGCCGCCCAGAGCCGCUCCCUUGCGCCAGAAGCGCGAUGCUGCCUCACCUGAGGAUUCAGAGCUGCCUCCAGGCCCUUCCAAGAGAAGUGCAGGUGCUCAGGAGAGUGAGGCGUCCCCAGCACCUGCCAAGAAAGUCUGUGCCACCUCUGGACUUGUUGGGGCUUCACCAGUGGAACCAUCAAGAGAGCUCAUCCAGAGAUUUAAUCUCCGCAAGCUCACGGUUCCACUGGUUCGCCUGGACCUGAAACGCCAUCCUGAGCUCAUGGUUCACCUCACUCCAAUCCACCCUGAAGCUGCUUGCAGGGCCCUGGGACACAGCAACAGCUGCUCAUCUUCUCAGCAGCACAGCCCAGCCUGCGAGCCAUCAGCUCCUUCAUGCCAGAAGCACAGUGCUGCCUCCCCUGAGGAUUCAGAGCUACCUGCAGGCCCUUCCAGGACAAGUCCAGAUCCUCCAGGGUGUGAAGUUUCCCCAGCACGUGCCAAGAAAGUGUUUGCUCCAUCUGCACUUGGGGUUUCAUCAGGCAAGCCAGGCACACACAAAUUUCAAGUCCAGCCACAGCUCAUCACUCCAGCAUUUCCUGUGCACCAUCAAAGCA